CAGUCGCCGCGGUAAUACGAGGGGGGCAAGCGUUGUUCGGAAUUAUUGGGCGUAAAGGGUGCGUAGGCGGUCUGAUAAGUCUGAUGUGAAAUCGAUGGGCUCAACCCAUCGUCUGCAUUAGAAACUGUCGGGCUUGAGUGUGGGAGAGGUGAGUGGAAUUUCCGGUGUAGCGGUGAAAUGCGUAGAUAUCGGAAGGAACACCUGUGGCGAAAGCGGCUCACUGGACCAUUACUGACGCUGAUGCACGAAAGCUAGGGGAGCAAACAGGAUUAGAUACCCCAGUAGUCCCUGUCUCUUAUCC
rnacentral:rRNA from 1 species